rnacentral:rRNA from 1 species
AGGACGAACGCUGGCGGCGUGCUUAACACAUGCAAGUCGAGCGGUAAGGCCUUUCGGGUACACGAGCGGCGAACGGGUGAGUAACACGUGGGUGAUCUGCCCUGCACUCUGGGAUAAGCCUGGGAAACUGGGUCUAAUACCGGAUAUGACCUGCUCUCGCAUGGGGGUGGGUGGAAAGAUUUAUCGGUGCAGGAUGGGCCCGCGGCCUAUCAGCUUGUUGGUGGGGUAAUGGCCUACCAAGGCGACGACGGGUAGCCGACCUGAGAGGGUGACCGGCCACACUGGGACUGAGACACGGCCCAGACUCCUACGGGAGGCAGCAGUGGGGAAUAUUGCACAAUGGGCGAAAGCCUGAUGCAGCGACGCCGCGUGAGGGAUGAAGGCCUUCGGGUUGUAAACCUCUUUCAGCAGGACGAAGCGUCAAGUGACGGUACCUGCGAGAAGAAGCAACCGGCUAACUAACGUGCCAGCAGCCGC